UCACUGGCACCUAGAAGUGAGGUCUUUC
rnacentral:piRNA from 1 species